CGGGGGUUCAAGUGAUUCUCAUGCCUCAGCUUCCUGAGUAGCUGGGAUUACAGGCAUGCAGCGUCACUCCCAGCUCAUUUUUUUUGUAAUUUUAGUAGAGACAUGGUUUCACCAUGUUGGCCAGGCUGGUCUCGAACUCCUGACCUCAAAUGAUCCACCUGCCUCAGCUUCCCAAAGUGCUGGGAUUACAGACAGGAGCCACCGCACCUGGCCUUCAUUGCUUUUUGAUGUCAUUAUUACCCAAGUGCUGAGAAGGUGCUGUUUAGAGGCCAACUUAGAGAAGUGGAAAAAGCAGAGAGAGUGUCGUCAGACAGCUUCGUGAAAGUUUCUUGUAGUUUUCUUUGAUCUGUAUGACAGUUCAUUGUCCCGAAGAGCUAUGUCAUCCUUGGAUUUGAUGGCUUCACUGUGUACUCCUUUUUAUUUGAAAGAAAAAAGAAGCCAACUGAAAAGAGAUCUGAGCGCUGAUCCCCGUGAGAAAGGACAAAGUCACAUCCAAAGAAGCCGUUAUGCUGCCUUUGUUCCUGGACUCUACAGAGAUCCAUAUCCAGUGUGAAACAUCUCUCUGAUCACGUAUUAGAAGUCAGCAAAUAUCAUUGAAUGCAUGAAAUGAAUCAAUCCCAUGGAAAUUUAGUUUUAAACGAAGCUUUAUUGUGAAAGAUUUCAAGCAUUGGGAAGUAAAUUGCUGGGAGCAAGCCCCCCAAAAUCUGGCUAUAAACCAGCCCCAAAACUGCCCAUAAACAAAAUCUCUGCAGCACUGUGACAUGUUCAUAAUGGCACUAACGCCCAAGCUGGAAGGUUGUGGGUUUACGGGAAUGAGGGCAAGGAACACCUGGCCCGCCCAGGGCGGAAAACCGCUUAAAGGCAUUCUUAAGCCACAAACAAUAGCAUGAGCGAUCUGUGUCUUAAGGGCAUGUUCCUGCUGCAGUUAAUUAGCCCAACCUAGUCCUUUAAUUUGGCCCAUCCCUUCAUUUCCCAUAAGGGAUACUUUUAGUUAAUUUAAUAUCUAUAGAAACAAUGCUAGUGACUGGUUUGCUGUUAAUAAAUAUGUGGGUAAAUCUCUGUUCAGGGCUCUCAGCUCUGAAGGCUGUGAGACCCCUGAUUUCCCACUUCACACCU
rnacentral:lncRNA from 10 species